CCUGGUUGAUCCUGCCAAUAUUCAUAUGCUUGUCUCAAAUAUUAAGCCAUGCAUGUCUAAGUAUGAACUAAUUCAGACUGUGAAACUGUGGAUGGCUCAUUAAAUCAGUUAUAGUUUUUUUAUGGUACCAUACUACUCGGAUAACCAUAGUAAUUCUAGAGCUAAUACGUGCACUAAGUCCUGACUCUUUGGAAGGGAUGAAUUUCUUAGAUAAAAGACUGGCGCGAGCUUGCCCGCUUCUCUGGUGAAUCAUGAUAACUCGACGGAUCACACAACCGUUGUGCUGGCGAUGCUUCAUUCAAAUUUCUACCCUAUCAACUUUCUAUGGUAGGAUAAAGGCCUACCAUGGUGGUGACAGGUGAUGGAGAAUUAGGGUUCGAUUUCGAAGAGGGAGCCUGAGAAAUGGCUACCACAUCCAAGGAAGGUAGCAUGCACACAAAUUACCCAAUCCUGACAUGGGGAGGCAGUGACAAUAAAUAACUAUACUCGGCUCAUCGAGUCUGGUAAUUGGAAUGAGUACAAUCUAAAUCCCUUAAUGAGGAUCCAUUGGAGGGCAAUUCUGGUGCCAGCAGCCAUGGUAAUUCCAGCUCCAAUAGCGUAUAUUUAAGUUGUUGCAGUUAAAAAGCUCAUAGUUGGAUCUUGGGUCGUAAAGGUUGGUCUGCCUACUUGUUGUGCACCUACCCUUCCAUCCCUUUUAUCAGCGGCAUGCUCCUGGCCUUAAUUGGCUGGGUCGCAGCUCCGGUGCUAUUACUUUGAAAAAAUUAGAGUGCUCAAAGCAAGCUUAUGCUCUGAAUACAUUAGCAUGGAAUAACGUGACAAGAGUUUGGUCCUAUUUUGUUGUCUUUCGGGACCAGAGUAAUGAUUAAUAGGGACUGUCGGGGGCAUUCGUAUUUCAUUGUCAAAGGUGAAAUUCUUGGAUUUAUGAAAGCUAGACCACUGCGAAAGAAUUUUCCAAGGAUUUUUUCAUUAAUCAAGAACAAAAGUUUGGGGCUCGGAGAUGAUCAAAUACCGUCCUAGUCUCAAACAUAAAUGAUGUCGACCAAGGAUCAACGGAUGUUGCUCUAAGGACUCCACUAACACCUUCUGAGAAAACAUAGUGUUUGGGUUCCAGGGGGAGUAUGGUUGCAAGGCUGAAAGUUAAAGGAAUUGACGGAAGGACACCACCAAGAGUGGAGCCUAUGGCUUAAUUUGACUCGACACAGGGAAACUUACCAAGUCUAGACAUAGUAAGGAUUGACAAAUUGAGAGCUUUUUCUUGAUUCUAUGGGUGGUGGUGCAUGGCCAUUCUUAGUUGAUGGAGUGAUUUGUCUGGUUUAUUCCGAUAAUGAAUGAGACCUCAGCUUGCUAACUAGCUAUGCAGAGGUUCCCCUUUGCAGCCAACUUCUUAGAGGGACUAUGGUUGUUUAGGCCAUGGAAGUUUGAGGCAAUAAUAGGUCUAUGAUGCCCUUAGAUGUUCUGGGCUGCACGCACACUACACUGAUGUAGACAACAAGUUUUUCUUCCUGGUUCGAGAGGAUCGGGAAAUCUUCUCAAAUUGCAUCGUGAUGGGGAUAGACCAUUGCAAUUAUUGGUCUUCAACGAGGAAUUCCUAGUAAGCGCGUGUCAUCAACUCAUGUUGACUACGUCCUUGCCCUUUGUACACACCGCCCAUCACUCCUACCGAUUGAAUGAUCUGGUGAAGUGUUCAGAUUACGUCAACGAUGGUGGUUUUCCGCCAUCGACGUCAUGAGAAGUUAAUUGAACCUUAUCAUUUAGAGGAAGGAGAAGUCGUAACAAGGUUACCAUACGUGAACCAAUGAUAC
rnacentral:rRNA from 1 species